GGCCAUAGAUCACUGAUAAAGGUCUCAACCACCAUCUCCCCUCCUCUACUUCCUCAUUUGUUCUCUCUCCCCCUUGAUGCCAUCUCUAUCAUUUGAUCAUCAAUUGGUUAAAUAGAUAAGAUCAUUAAUAAUUCUGACCAUCUUGUCCCCACUUAGAUUGGACCUGUCUCCCUAAUCUUGCUGGUUGCCACUUGGACUUGAAUGAAUUUGGGAUCCUUCACCUAGCUAGCCUUGUCCUUCUCUCACAUAUUAUUUCUUUCCUAAUCCAAUGAUCUUAAUUUUAUAAGGGUUUCAUCAUUCGAAAAAAAAGCAGCCUAUCAUAAGUUCUACAUUCAAAUACUUGAAUUGUGGUUAAAAACCUUAACAUCUUCAAUUAUUUAGUUUAGAUAAUUAAUCUACAAAACCUUGUAAAUAGGG
rnacentral:lncRNA from 1 species